rnacentral:rRNA from 1 species
GGGGAAUUUUGCGCAAUGGGCGAAAGCCUGGCGCAGCAACGCCGCGUGUGUGAUGAAGGUCUUUGGAUUGUAAAGCACUUUCGACCGGGACGAAAACCCGUUGGCUAACAUCCAACGGCUUGACUGUACCGGGAGAAGAAGCACCGGCUACCUCUGUGCCAGCAGCCGCGGUAAUACAGAGGGUGCAAGCGUUGUUCGGAAUUAUUGGGCGUAAAGCGCGUGUAGGCGGCGUGACAAGUCGGGUGUGAAAGCCCUCAGCUCAACUGAGGAAGUGCGCCCGAAACUGUCGUGCUUGAGUGCCGGAGAGGGUGGCGGAAUUCCCCAAGUAGAGGUGAAAUUCGUAGAUAUGGGGAGGAACACCGGUGGCGAAGGCGGCCACCCGGACGGUUACUGACGCUGAGACGCGAAAGCGUGGGGAGCGAU